rnacentral:rRNA from 1 species
GGAAAGGAACAUAUACCUAUUUACAUAACAAAUCCUAUGGUAGGUCGCAAAUUGGGGGAAUUCGUGCCUACUCGGCAUUUCACGAGUUAUGAAAAUGCAAGAAAGGAUACUAAAUCUCGUCGUUAA